GGGUUGUGAGGUUAAGUGACUAAGCGUACACGGUGGAUGCCCUGGCAGUCAGAGGCGAUGAAGGACGUGCUAAUCUGCGAAAAGCGUCGGUAAGGUGAUAUGAACCGUUAUAACCGGCGAUGUCCGAAUGGGGAAACCCAGUGUGAUUCGUCACACUAUCGUUAACUGAAUACAUAGGUUAACGAGGCGAACCGGGGGAACUGAAACAUCUAAGUACCCCGAGGAAAAGA
rnacentral:rRNA from 1 species